UAGGGAAUCUUCCGCAAUGGACGCAAGUCUGACGGAGCAACGCCGCGUGAGUGAAGAAGGAUUUCGGUUCGUAAAACUCUGUUGUUAGAGAAGAACAGCGCAUAGAGUAACUGUUAUGCGUGUGACGGUAUCUAACCAGAAAGCCACGGCUAACUACGUGCCAGCAGCCGCGGUAAUACGUAGGUGGCAAGCGUUGUCCGGAUUUAUUGGGCGUAAAGCGAGCGCAGGCGGUCAAUUAAGUCUGAUGUGAAAGCCCCCGGCUCAACCGGGGAGGGUCAUUGGAAACUGGUUGACUUGAGUGCAGAAGAGGAGAGUGGAAUUCCAUGUGUAGCGGUGAAAUGCGUAGAUAUAUGGAGGAACACCAGUGGCAAAGGCGACUUUCUGGUCUGUAACUGACGCUGAUGUGCGAAAGCGUGGGGAUCAAACAGG
rnacentral:rRNA from 1 species